rnacentral:misc_RNA from 1 species
AAGAUAUAGCAUAUUCUUCUGAAAUAUACUUUAUAUACCCAUUCCGAGUACCUUACCCUGUUGCUUCCGCGAGGCUGUCCUCACGGCCCUCUGAAGAUUUAUCUUAGGGGAGUCCUUGCGGAAGGUAUACAAUAACUCUUGCAUUACCAUGUCAUCUGUCUGAAUCUGUUUAAAACAAAUAUUA